CGUGAGAUGUUGGGUUAAGUCCCGCAACGAGCGCAACCCUUGUCCCUAGUUGCCAGCAUUCAGUUGGGCACUCCAGGGAGACCGCCGGUGACAAACCGGAGGAAGGUGGGGAUGACGUCAAGUCAUCAUGGGCCUUUAUGGCCAGGGCUACACACGUGCUACAAUGGCAAGUACAGAGGGAAGCCAACCGGCGACGGGGAGCCAAUCCCAGAAAACUUGUCGUAGUCCGGAUUGGAGUCUGCAACUCGACUCCA
rnacentral:rRNA from 1 species